AGUGAACGCUGGCGGUAGGCCUAACACAUGCAAGUCGAACGGCAGCACAGUAAGAGCUUGCUCUUACGGGUGGCGAGUGGCGGACGGGUGAGGAAUACAUCGGAAUCUACUUUUUCGUGGGGGAUAACGUAGGGAAACUUACGCUAAUACCGCAUACGACGUACGGGUGAAAGCAGGGGAUCUUCGCACCUUGCGCGAUUGAAUGAGCCGAUGUCGGAUUAGCUAGUUGGCGGGGUAAAGGCCCACCAAGGCGACGAUCCGUAGCUGGUCUGAGAGGAUGGUCAGCGACACUGGAACUGAGCCACGGUCAAGACUCCUACGGGAGGCAGCAGUGGGGAAUAUUGGGCAAUGGGCGCAAGCCUGAUCCAGCCAUACGGCGUGGGUGAAGAAGGCCUUCGGGUUGUAAAGCCCUUUUGUUGGGAAAGAAAAGCAGCAGGUUAAUACCCCGCUGUUCUGACGGUACCCAAAGAAUAAGCACCGGCUAACUUCGUG
rnacentral:rRNA from 1 species